rnacentral:tRNA from 1 species
ACCUGGCUGGCUCAGUUGGAAGAGCAUGUGACUCUUGAUCUUGGGGUUGUAAGUUCAAGCCCCAUGUUGGGUA